rnacentral:lncRNA from 1 species
CUUCAUCUUGGUUCUUACACCUUCCACUAUACAAUCGAAACAAUAUCCCAAAGAUACUUCAUCUUCUUCUUCACUGAUAUUAAGUGUAGAAAGCUUUGAAAACGAAGCCUUAAAAUUAAAAUAAAAAACCUUAAAUUCAUUUCGUUUGUUGUAGUGUUUCAUUGAAAUCCCCUACUCAUUUUCCAAAAACCCAUACCAAUGUUCCUCGUCUUCUUAUACCUUCCACCAAUACAAUCUCUUUCGGCUAUUAAACCUGCAAAAAUAUAAUAUGUGGAUGAACUUUCACAAAUUUCGAUUUAUAAAUUGGGGAUUUCAUCGAUUAGAGGUCUUGAAUAGAAUUUGAGUUUCAAAGUUAGGGAUUUCGUGGGUCGUAAGGGGAAUUGGAAACGAGUUAGGGAUUAUCAAUUUCGAGGAUUCUUGAUCAGUAACAGAUGAAAAGACAACACGAUUUUUCUGGAUGGGAUUAGAAGUAUUACAUUUAAAUUCCACCAAGUAUUAUUAAAUCGAUAAAUUUCAUGUUAGCAUAGACAAUGGAAAAUUUUAACAGAGUUAUUAAUGUAUCACAAUUUUUAAAUUUAGGGAUUAAAUUCUAAGAAAAUUAAAUUCUUAAAACAUGAAAAGCAUAGGGACCAGAAUCACAUUUAAACCUUAAAAUUUUCAAUUUAUUCUCUCAUUUUUCACUUCUACAUGGCAAUGAAUGAAUAAAAUUAUAUUUCCUAUCAAUUUUUAAGGAUAAACUAUAAAACUAGUUACUCAACUAUUAUAUUAUUUCUGUUUCGGUCACCAAGUUUAAAAAAUUUUAUUUUAGUCAAUAAUAUUAUCGAAAUUUAAUAUUUUGAUUACUCCUCCUUAAAUCACUUAUGGUGACCUUUUUAUUAGCAUAAUAAUAAAUUUAGCCUUUCAAUGUUUACAUAAUCUAUCAAUUUAGUCCUAGUUUUAAAGAAUUCAAUAAAUUUAGCCCUUAACAAGUUUUUUUUUAAAAUUUUUAAGAAUAAAGACUCAAUUGACAAAAUAUGUAAAGCAAAGGGCAAAGUUUGUUGAUUUCUUUUAGAUUUAUGACUAAAUUGAUAGGAUUUGCAAACAUUAAAGAGCUAAAUUAGUUAUUAUGCUGAUAAAUAAAAAUCCAACAAUAGUCAUUUAAUGGGAAGUGACUAAAAUAUUAAAUUUUAAUAAUGUUAGUGACUAAAAUAGAAAUUUUUAAACUUAAGUGUCAAACAAAAAUAUGGUAAUAGUUGGGUGACUAUUACUAUAGUUUAACCAUUUAAUAUUUCCUACUAAAUAUAAAAAUUAUAUUUUCCAUCUAAAAAACAUUAAUGUUUCCUCUUGCUAAUAUUAAAUUAACAAUACAAAAUGUACAGAGUACAAACUCUUUUUACCUGUCGGCACUAAUUAGAAAAUGCCACGUGUCGAUAAAAGACAAGCAGAUUAUUUUCAUGUCUCAAAGCGGGUCCCGCCAGAUCUUAUCUUGGGUAAAAACCCAGCUCUGCAGAAUCUUUAAAGCUAACGAAAAAUCCUUUCUUCCUCUUCCUUUUCUUCUUCAUAAGAUGAGCUUGGGGUUAGGGUUUUAAUUUAACUACAACCAUGCCUGGUUUGCCUGACAAUUAAUAACCGUAGAUCGAGUUUAGAAGGAAAAAUACCCCACAAAAAUGUCGAUCACCACAUCAUCAUCGUCAGCCUUCAAGCUGAUCUGUCUCCUCCACUCGGCGGUCG